UGGCCUCCAUGGAGGAGUGGUGGGAACCCUGACUAGGAAUUGAGCGCUUGGGGGCAGGAAGGGGCCCGUACCACUUUUCGGAGAGCAUUUCCGGAGCGCCUACUGUGUGCUUCACGCUGGGGGAGGGGGCCUCUGCUUGGAGGAGAAAAUGCAAAUUCCGACGUUUGUAAGUUUGUGCCCUCCACCAGGUUCUUCCACAGGCGGUGUGAUUGUUACUAAGGCUCCGAGAGGAAACUGAGGCCCACGUAGCCUCAUGGAUGGAUUUACCUCCAGCUGGUUAGGACAGGCUCUGAAUGCGACGCCUGUUCUGCCCACAAGGGCCUGUAGAGUCGGGUGGAAGGCUCCCUCUGACACCACCGUACAGCCUGUAGCCCCAAGGUCUGGUGCACGGGUGGCGGCCUGAGGUAAUAUAACAGCCAACUCUGCAGGAGUAUAUGUAACACAAGAAGCUGAGGGAGGCACCUCAGGGGUAUCUUCUCAUCUAAUCCGGUUUAUGGGAUGAGGACACCAAGGCCCAGUGUGGAGGCCCCAAACAAUUUCUUGGGAAAGUUGGUGCUUGGUCCACAGCCUUCUUAGAAAAAAAGAGCGAGGCUUGGAGAGUCUCAGGAUGGGGCGUAGUGUUUCACCCUGAAGGUUCACUUUCGCGGCUUGGCAGCGGCGAACCAACGCAGUGACACAGGAGUACAACCAGUGAUUGGGGCGACAAACCUAAGCAGCCAAAGUGAAUGCUUAGCGCGCUCUCAGGGAAGCACAGCUCUGCCAACACCACUGCCAGACGCCACCGGAGCAGCGACCGAGGCACCCGGAGGAAGAAGGCGGUUCAGGGCCCUCCCAGCAGUGAGUCUGUCUGCAGAGCUGACUGCUGCUGGAGCCGGCGGGGCUCUCAGACACGAGAAGAUGUUUCUAAUGAGCUGACUGACCUUCUAAAUGGUCCACAGACCACAGCAAGACAUUUCUUGAGGCUCCUGCUUGAAACCACAGUGUCAUUUUUUAAAUGUGACAACCAAAGGGAAGAGGGUCAGUGCCCCCGACGAGAUAGUCGGGUAUUUCAUGUUUUAAAAACCUGCGUGGCACGCCGGAUGAACAUCGCUCAUCGAGACAGAUGAAGAGGGUGGCGUGUGUGCUUCAGGUACAGAGAGCGGACACGCAGCCGGGAGGCAGGAGAGAUGAAGCCAGCAGACGGGAGCGGCCGCCCCUCAGAGGCCUGUCUCUUCGUGGCGUUCGCUCCUGUCUCUGGUCUUCAUGUCUCCUGCCUCCGGGCCACGUGUCCCGGUCUCUGUCCCUGAAGCACUCAUUUCACCGUCUUCAUCUGUCUAAAUCCUACCUGUGCUCUCAAGGCACAUCUCAUCUGUGAUUUCAAAUGUCAAAUCACGGUGACAUCUUUAAAACAUAUAAAUCAGAUGAUACCAUUCUCGUGCCUGAAAGCCUCCGUGGUUGUGACGGCACCUUCCACCCACACGAGGGCCCUUUACCUGCCCACUUGCCCUGCCCUCCGCCCCAGCCAGCCUGGCUGUCCCUGUCCCAAGGGACACAUUCAAACAGCCAAGUCUGAGUCUUAAUGUGAUAAGGUCUGGGGGAGCUCUCCCCUGACCCUGCUGGGGAGUCACUGCAAAGGCCUCCACCCAGCACAGUGGGAUCUUCUGGCAACAGAUCACAGAGCUAAGACAGGUCACAGUGGUGAGACAGGUCAUAGAGGUAACCUGGCAACCACCCUCGGUCAGCCAGGUAGGCCAGUUGAAGCUGGAUAAAUAGACUUCACGCCAAGGUUUUGGGGGCAGGGGCAGAAGCCCGGACAGGGAGGGAACUGGCCCAGCAGGGGCAGGCUCUGCCAGCACCGCGUGAGCGGGGGCGGGCCUCGCAGAGCCUCUGGAUGGAGGGAGCCCAGCGGCAGCCGAAGAACCUGCCGCAGGUUUCCGACCUGCAGCGCCUGUGACCACGCACUUCGUGGUGUGGGCCGCGACGGGAAACCACUGUUGACCCUGUCGCUCCCUGGUCACAUCACCUAAGUCUGUUUCCUUCAUGGGUUAGUUCUUCUUAGUUCUUAGUUCUCAGCACCUGAAAGGGGGCCUGUGCAGGCCCUGCCCCCGAGACCCUGGCGCAGCGGGGGCCGCAGAGGAGCUGAUGGCGCACACACGUUGAAUGAAUUCGGGAGUGAGGGGCUCU